rnacentral:lncRNA from 1 species
GUCAAGCAGGCUGUCCUCAGGGCGAUGGGUGCCAUGAUGGGUGUCUUCCUGCAUGUGGAGGAGCACCGCGAGCACACCUGGGAGCAGCUCCUUUGGCUAUCAAGUUGGGAGAGGACUGUGGAGGGGCUGAUGCCUUUGGGUGUACAAUGUCCUUAGGCAAGCAGUGCCUUAGAGGGAGAAAGCCAAGGCUCCAGUGGGCUGCAAGGCGUCCAAGAAGUCCAGGACGCCUUCAGGGUGACUAUGUCUCAGCUCUUUUCUGGAGGUCUUGGUGGGCAUUCAGACCCUUAUGCCCCAGGCCAAACUUCUGGCCAUCGGCACUGUUGUGCACUGGCAGGUAAGGCCUUACGCCAUGUUGCUGGCCUGGGGCUGGCAGAGUGGGUCCCCACAGAGGGGACAGAGCUGCCGGUUGGCAGGGCUGGGCAUCCCUCCGUUGAGAGCCACCUGAAGGCCAGGGCUGUGCAGGGGCUGUGAGCCAUGGCCCAUGUUGGCACCUUGAGGCUACUGGGGACCUGGAUGGGCUGUUUUGCACCAGCCCAGGGGACAGUCUGGUUCACAGAGCAAUUCCCCUCUGGGCUGAGUUGCAGGAGGGCUCCAGAGGGCAGGACCCACCAGGAGCCUUCGAACGCUGCUCAGCCUUGGCUCCUGGGCAGCCGUAGCUGCUGCAAAGCUCUGCAUGUGCCCGGCUCUGGGUUUUGGCCUUGGGUCCAUGCCCAGAGCUGCCCAUGAGAUGAGAGCUGACAGUGCAGUUUCUUUUCCGUCCCUCUCCACACUGAUCUGGCUUUCUCCAAAAUGCACCUUGUUGCCAACGCCCUGUGAUGAGAUCAAGCAGCCCAGUCCAGAACACAGAGCAGAACUGUGCUGCUGCAUCAUGCUGCAGGCCCGAAUUUGCCCAGAAGAGACAGUUGUGUUCCUCCAGCCUGAGCUGAGCAGUGGGUGUGAGGCCAGUUGCGUGGCAGCUGUGGAUCUGCUGCAAGCUCUGGUCCGCUCUGAAGCCUCUGAGAUGAGGGAGAAGCUGUCCCUGAUAGUGACAGCCGUGUGCAGUCUGUGUGCUGUGACCCUGCGGCCCGGGGAGCUGCUGUGCUCCAGUGCCCCAAGCUGCUUGGCAUGGGAUGUGAUGGGGCAUGUCUUCAGUGAGUUCAGCCAGGCCUCAGGCAGACUGGUGACAGGAAACCUUUGUGCUGGGGAAGCCCAGGAAGAAAAGGCUGUUCAGCGCCUGUGUGCCCACAUCCUGAGCACGCUGGACGUCUCUGCCAGAGGGGUGGCCAAAUUGCUCUGCUGGCUCCCCAGGCCCUUCUGGCUUGCCUGCUGGUGGUGGUGGCAGUGGCUCUGUGUGCGGGCAGUGGCCCUGGACCCGUGGCCCUGCAGCUGCUGCAGGCCCUCCCCAGCAUGA